rnacentral:rRNA from 1 species
GUGUGCUAAUACCGCAUAAUCUCUCAGGAGAAAAGCAGGGGAUCGCAAGACCUUGCGCUUUAGGAGCGGCCGAUGCCUGAUUAGCUUGUUGGUAAGGUAAAAGCUUACCAAGGCUUCGAUCAGUAGCUGGUCUGAGAGGACGACCAGCCACACUGGGACUGAGACACGGCCCAGACUCCUACGGGAGGCAGCAGUGGGGAAUUUUGGACAAUGGGGGAAACCCUGAUCCAGCCAUGCCGCGUGAGUGAAGAAGGCCUUCGGGUUGUAAAGCUCUUUCAGCCGGAACGAAACGGUUACGAUUAAUACUCGUAAUUAAUGACGGUACCGGCAGAAGAAGCACCGGCUAACUACGUGCCAGCAGCCGCGGUAAUACGUAGGGUGCGAGCGUUAAUCGGAAUUACUGGGCGUAAAGGGUCCGCAGGUUGUUUUGUAAGUCAGAUGUGAAAGCCCCGGGCUUAACCUGGGAACUGCGUCUGAAACUACAAGGCUAGAGUAUGGCAGAGGGGGGUGGAAUUCCGCGUGUAGCAGUGAAAUGCGUAGAUAUGUGGAGGAACACCGAUGGCGAAGGCAGCCCCCUGGGUCAAUACUGACACUGAGGGACGAAAGCAUGGGGAGCAAACAGGAUUAGAUACCCUGGUAGUCCAUGCCCUAAACGAUGUCAACUAGUUGUCGGGCCUUUACGGGCUUGGUAACGUAGCUAACGCGUGAAGUUGACCGCCUGGGGAGUACGGUCGCAAGAUUAAAACUCAAAUGAAUUGACGGGGACCCGCACAAGCGGUGGAUUAUGUGGAUUAAUUCGAUGCAACGCGAAAAACCUUACCUACCCUUGACAUGUAUCGAAGCCCGCAGAAAAGCGGGGGUGCCCGAAAGGGAACGAUAACACAGGUGCUGCAUGGCUGUCGUCAGCUCGUGUCGUGAGAUGUUGGGUUAAGUCCCGCAACGAGCGCAACCCUUGUCAUUAAUUGCCAUCAUUUAGUUGGGCACUUUAAUGAGACUGCCGGUGACAAACCGGAGGAAGGCGGGGAUGACGUCAAGUCCUCAUGGCCCUUA